rfam:Lupinus angustifolius cultivar Tanjil chromosome LG15, whole genome shotgun sequence.
UUGUGCGAUCAUACCAGCACUAAUGCACGAGAUCCCAUUAGAACUCCGCAGGUAAACGUGCUUGGGCGAGAGUAGUCCUAGGAUGGGUAACCUCCUGGAAAGUCCUUGUGCUGCAUCUG